AUGGCGGACGACUCCAAGGACAUCAGCAGGCUUCUGAAUCCAGCGGACAAGCUCACCGAAGACCUCCUCAUCGAGAUCCUGUCGCGCGUGCCGUACAAGUCGCUGUGCCGGUUCAAGUGCGUCUCCAAGCGGUGGCGCGGCAUCAUCUCCCACCCCGACCACCGCAAGGCGCUGCCGCAGCACCAUCUCCAUGACCUCGCCGGAUUCCUCUACUCGAGCCGCAGCCCUGACUAUUUAUUGAUUCGCAAUUUCACCCAUGUCUCCACGGGAGGCCGCCCUCCUAUCGCUAUCGACCCUUCGCUCGCCUUCCUGCCCGACUGUGACAGGUUCCACCUUCUGGACAGCUGCAACGGCCUACUCCUCUGCAGCCGCUUCGAGACCGCUGAUUCGCAGGCAUUUGAUUACGUCGUGUGCAAUCCUGCCACGGAGAAAUGGGUUGCCUUGCCAUUGCCGGGCUUCUUCAGCAAGAUACAGACAGCUCGCCUGGGGUUCGACCCGGCCGUCUCCUCGCACUUCCAUGUGUUCCAGUUCCUGAAGGACGGGGAUGGCCACGUCAAAGGGGUUGAGAUCUACUCGUCCAAAACCGGCGUCUGGAGUCACAAGGACAGCGGUUGGGGCUUCCCGGCUAGAUUAACGAGUUUAAGUGCCUUUGGCAAUGGUUUUCUUUAUUUUGUUGCCAUCUGGUCUGCGGUGGUGGCAGUGGAUGUGGAGGGAACUGCUUGGAGGGUUAUUCCUAUGCCAUGCAAUCCGUUUGGCCCUGAAAUAGAUCUUGCUGUCGGGUUCACUGAUCCGUCUCAAGGGCGUUUGUAUUUAGCAAAUAUUGAUCAUCAUGAUGGUCACAGACUAUUGAUCUCGGUUCUUGAGGACUACGGCAGUGAAGUGUGGGUCUUGAAGCACAGCAUUAGUCCUUUUGAUCUACUUGGAGAGAAGUAUGUACAUCGGGGAAUCAGGUUUCACAUUGUCGCCCACCACCCGCGACGAAACAUGAUUUUCUUUGUUUAUGGGCAUGACAAAGAACUCGUGUCUUAUGAAAUGGAUAGUGGAAAAGUGCAGUUCAUCGGCGUUCUUGGAAAUGGUUCCGUGGGACCCUACCUUCCUUAUGUUCCCUUGUACUUGGAGGAAUUGGCAGAUUGGAACUGA
rnacentral:rRNA from 1 species